rnacentral:rRNA from 1 species
GACGAACGCUGGCGGCGUGCUUAACACAUGCAAGUCGAACGGAAAGGCCCUGCUUUUGUGGGGUGCUCGAGUGGCGAACGGGUGAGUAACACGUGAGUAACCUGCCCUUGACUUUGGGAUAACUUCAGGAAACUGGGGCUAAUACCGGAUAGGAGCUCCUGCUGCAUGGUGGGGGUUGGAAAGUUUCGGCGGUUGGGGAUGGACUCGCGGCUUAUCAGCUUGUUGGUGGGGUAGUGGCUUACCAAGGCUUUGACGGGUAGCCGGCCUGAGAGGGUGACCGGCAAAAUUGGGACGGAGAACCGCCCGAGCGCCCUACGGGGGGCAGCAGGGGGGAAUAUUGCACAGUGGGCGGAGGCCUGAUGCAGCAACGCCGCGGGCGGGAUGACGGCCUUCGGUUUGAAACCCGCUUCCGCCUGUGACGAAGCGGGAGUGAGGGUAAUGGGUAAAGAAACACCGGCUAACUACGUG